rnacentral:rRNA from 1 species
UACGUAGGGUCCGAGCGUUGUCCGGAAUUACUGGGCGUAAAGAGCUCGUAGGCGGUGUGUCACGUCGUUCGUGAAAACCUGCAGCUUAACUGUGGGCGUGCGGUCGAUACGGGCAUCACUGGAGUUCGGCAGGGGAGACUGGAAUUCCUGGUGUAGCGGUGAAAUGCGCAGAUAUCAGGAGGAACACCGGUGGCGAAGGCGGGUCUCUGGGCUAUAACUGACGCUCAUGCACGAAAGCGUGGGGAGCAAACAGG